rnacentral:rRNA from 1 species
UAGGGAAUCUUCCGCAAUGGGCGAAAGCUUGACGGAGCAACGCCGCGUGAGUGAUGAAGGUCUUCGGAUCGUAAAACUCUGUUAUUAGGGAAGAACAAAUGUGUAAGUAGCUAUGCACGUCUUGACGGUACCUAAUCAGAAAGCCACGGCUAACUACGUGCCAGCAGCCGCGGUAAUACGUAGGUGGCAAGCGUUAUCCGGAAUUAUUGGGCGUAAAGCGCGCGUAGGCGGUUUUUUAAGUCUGAUGUGAAAGCCCACGGCUCAACCGUGGGGGGUCAUUGGAAACUGGAAAACUUGAGUGCAGAAGAGGAAAGUGGAAUUCCAUGUGUAGCGGUGAAAUGCGCAGAGAUAUGGAGGAACACCAGUGGCGAAGGCGACUUUCUGGUCUGUAACUGACGCUGAUGUGCGAAAGCGUGGGGAUCAAACAGG